rnacentral:rRNA from 1 species
AUACGGAGGAUGCAAGCGUUAUCCGGAUUUAUUGGGUUUAAAGGGUGCGUAGGCGGAUGAUUAAGCGUGAGGUGAAAUGCCACUGCUCAACAGUGGAACUGCCUCGCGAACUGGUUGUCUUGAAUGCUCCUGCCGUGGGAGGAAUGUGUGGUGUAGCGGUGAAAUGCAUAGAGAUCACACAGAACACCGAUUGCGAAGGCAUCUCACGAAGGGGUGAUUGACGCUGAGGCACGAAAGCGUGGGGAUCAAACAGGAUUAGAUACCCUGGUAGUCCACGCAGUAAACGAUGAUAACUAACCGCUGGGUCGUAGUAAUUCAGUGGCCAAGCGAAAGCGAUAAGUUAUCCACCUGGGGAGUACGACCGCAAGGUUGAAACUCAAAUGAAUUGGCGGGG